rnacentral:rRNA from 1 species
UACGUAGGGUGCAAGCGUUAUCCGGAAUUAUUGGGCGUAAAGAGCUCGUAGGCGGUUUGUCACGUCUGCUGUGAAAACUGGAGGCUCAACCUCCAGCCUGCAGUGGGUACGGGCAGACUAGAGUGCGGUAGGGAGAUUGGAAUUCCUGGUGUAGCGGUGGAAUGCGCAGAUAUCAGGAGGAACACCCGUGGCGAAGGCGGCUCUCUGGAACGCAACUGACGCUGAGACGCGAAAGCGUGGGGAGCAAACAGG